AUCUUGUUGUGAUGCAGGGGCGGAGGAGGAAGUGAGCGGGAGAGAGGCAACCAAUGCCCCUGUUAGAUCCAAGUGACCCAGGGGUGGAUGCUCAAGCAUGUGCAUGGCGGGUAGCGUAAUUCGAAGAUCCUCCAUCCCAUGUCUUCGACUGGCAUAAAAAUAUCAUCCACAGUGGGUUUACUUCUCUCAGAAUAUUUUGUUAUAGUCACUGACGAACAUAUAAUUAGGAGUAAGGAUUGGCCAA
rnacentral:lncRNA from 1 species